AGCGUGUGGUAUUAAUACCCACCCAGGUGAUCAAGCUAAAUAUAGGGAUAAUGCAGCCUUGGCGGAGGGUAAGAGAUGAAAGUCUUACCGACAGCGAUACAGGAGAAGAAAGGAAAGCUGCAGCCUUUCUGCAUCAGCUCCAACAACAUCUGCAGCCUGCUGCUGGUGGGAUGGGGUGCUCCAGGCUUGAAAAAAUAUGGAGGAAUCUCCCUUAAAGCACAGGAGGCCAGCCCUGAUGUGGGGAAGCAACACUGCAUCCCAGAGGAAGGGUUUCUCUGGUUCAUGCUGGUUGAUGCUGGUGACUGAGAAUGCUGCCAGAAUUUGCUGGGGUCAGGAUGCUGCUGUAGCCAGGUCUGCUUACCAGGAAAAUGGGAC
rnacentral:lncRNA from 1 species